CUGCAAAGACCCCUGAGGGAGAAAGACAACUCGCUGCGGGAGCGUGUGGGGCCGCGCCCCGGCGGGCGGGCCGACGCGCGCAUCAGCUGCGGAGAAGCUGCCUCGGCGUGUUCUCAGGGAAAAUGUCACACCCUCACUUCAGCAUGUGUCAGCCUUUCUGCAGAAAGUUAUGCAUUGUUUUCCUUUCCUUGGAAAAUGUUCCUUUAAGGCUUUGUAGUGAUAAGUAGUAAACAGUAAGCAGUAAAUAGUAAUAAGCAGUAAGUAGUAAAUGGUAAUUGCAUAGUAGUAUGCAAUUUUUUCCCCCAGUUGUUUAUUUGGGCAGACCCAUGUUGGGGGGGGGCUGCAGCUAAAAGGAGGGGUUGGGCCUAUUGGCUUGUGCUGGUGAGGCAGGACAGGAGUGAGGCACUGGAAACUUCAUCUUGGAGUUGUGGUACCGCUUGCUCACCAGCAGGCACUUGAUGGCGCCUAAUCUCCACCUGGAGAUUAGGAUCUAGCAUCCAGUUGGAGCUAGUUGGAGGGGUCCUGGGACCGUGCCCAGCACCCUGUGUCACUCUACCACUGGGUGAUGGUGCAUAGGUGGUCAAGCCCCGGCGUUCCUAGAGCGUGUUGUCACUGUGGAGUUAUAAUAGCAUAUUCCCAUGUUGUUCGCCUGCAUAGGGGUUUCUGGAACACUUGCUCCAGUAGACAAUGUCCCCUGAAGAUUUCAUCUGAGGCAGGAAGUACCAGGUGCAAGACUUGGCAUAGAAAUGAUUAAGUGAAGAUUUGCAUGUAGUAUAGGGGCAGUGUGGAUGCAGCCUUUGGGGGCGAAAGGGCACCACCUUGUAUUAUCAUGGCAUGCUGGAGGACGUCAUGGCUCGCUCUCCUCGGUUGGCACUGCCAACACACAAAAGAAUGACUGGUGAUUUUAAUAUUUGCCCACUAUGAAGAUUUUCCUUACAACUGCCUUGCAAAGUCAUGCCUGUGAAUGGCCAUAACACACCAUAAACCAAGCUUCAGCCUUUUCUGCCUGCUUUUGGUGGAUUCUUCUCCAUACUCCAAGAUCACUAAAUGUAUACGGAUGGUCCCGGAAUCCCCACAAGGCUGCUUACAUGUUAUAAGCCACAUAGAUGGGAUCUAACUGGUCAGCCAGGAAGCUGUCACGAAGGUGCAUCCUCUGCUUCUCUCCCCUGGAGUUGAUGGGAAUAACACCUGGGUCCACCACAACCACGACACCAACGAUGAGAUGGAAAAACAAGGAGCUUAGUAACGUGCCUUUGAUGCAGAAACCAGGAGACGCACACCCAAGCCCGUAACGGCUACAGAGGCCACGCUCCUAACCACGACGCUACGCUGUCUCCCAGCCUCAUCUCUCCGCCUCUUCCAGAGCCUCACAUCUGUGCUUCUGAAACUAAAGUACGCAGCCCUCAAGGAAACUUUACAGGCUACUUGAAUUUACAAUGUAAAUACAGCAGUAACUAACAAUGAUAAUAGCACCAGUAUUCACUGAAAACUUUCUACAGGACAGGCGUUACAGACGCAUGCUGUGAACUAUCACACAAUUCUUCUAGGUGGUCAGGCAGGUGCAAUUAUUAUUUAUAGGUGAGGAAAUUGAGGCCUCUGAGAAGCUAAGUAACUUGCCCGAUACGGAGAAGCUGACAGAGGCCAGGUCACCUGGCUUCCGCAUCGAACCCUCCUCCUAGUAAGCUACGGGGUGAAACCCGUGUCCCUCAGAGACUUGGGGAAAGGAAAAUUAGUCUUUAAAUUUUUUUUAUGCACCUGACAGAAGAAAUCCUACAUUGUGGUUUGACAAUAAACAAGGAUGUUUAAAAAAUAAAAAUUUUAAAAACACAAAAAUGGAUAUAAUUUGGAAUAGAAUAUGAAAUAUAUAUGAAUUUAAA